rnacentral:rRNA from 1 species
AUGGACUCGUUCUUCUUCCUGGCGGAUUUCAGGCAAGAUGACCGUUACCCUGGAUCUCACUAUUAUCAUUGCUAUGCUAGUUGCUUCGUUCUAUCGCUAUGCUGCGCUACCUAUCACUUGUUCUUCAAGCCUCCCAAAUUGCCAUGUCAGCCUCUAACCUUUUCACCCUUCCUAGCAAACCGUUGCUUGGCUAUGUUAUCGCUUUGCUCAGCCCCUCUUAUAGUGUUGUUAGUUGCAGGUGAAGUUGAAGAUUGCUCCAUGAUGGACAAGAUUAUGUUGGGAUAUCACAAUAUAUCUUAUUUAAUUAAUGCAUCUAUAUACUUGGUAAAGGGUGGAAGGCUCGGCCUUAUGCCUGGUGUUUAG